GAUGAACGCUGGCGGCGUGCCUAAUACAUGCAAGUAGAACGCUGAAGGAAGGAGCUUGCUCUUUCCGGAUGAGUUGCGAACGGGUGAGUAACGCGUAGGUAACCUGCCUGGUAGCGGGGGAUAACUAUUGGAAACGAUAGCUAAUACCGCAUAACAGUAGAUGUUGCAUGAUAUCUACUUAAAAGGUGCAAUUGCACCACUACCAGAUGGACCUGCGUUGUAUUAGCUAGUUGGUGAGGUAACGGCUCACCAAGGCGACGAUACAUAGCCGACCUGAGAGGGUGAUCGGCCACACUGGGACGGGGACACGGCCCAGAAUCCUACGGGAGGCAGCAGUAGGGAAUCUUCGGCAAUGGACGGAAGGCUGACCGAGCAACGCCGCGUGAGUGAAGAAGGUUUUCGGAUCGUAAAGCUCUGUUGUAAGAGAAGAACGAGUGUGAGAGUGGAAAGUGCACACUGUGACGGUAUCUGACCAGAAAGGGACGGCUAACUACGUG
rnacentral:rRNA from 1 species